GUAUCCUCUCUGACUGGUAUCUCUACCCAGCAGGUAUCCUCUCUCACUGGUAUCUCUACCCAGCAGGUAUACUCUGACUGGUAUCUCUACCCAGCAGGUAUCCUCUCUCACUGGUAUCUCUACCCAGCAGGUAUACUCUGACUGGUAUCUCUACCCAGCAGGUAUAUCUACCCAGCAGGUAUCCUCUCUGACUGGUAUCUCUACCCAGCAGGUAUCCUCUCUCACUGGUAUCUCUACCCAGCAGGUAUCCUCUCUCACUGGUAUCUCUACCCAGCAGGUAUACUCUGACUGGUAUCUCUACCCAGCAGGUAUCCUCUCUCACUGGUAUCUCUACCCAGCAGGUAUCCUCUCUCACUGGUAUCUC